AGAUGCCUACAUCAUAGUGUUAAUGCAUCGGAUCCCAUUAGAACUCCACAGUUAAGCGCACUCAAGCUAGAGUAGUAAUGAGGGGUGACCAGUCCGGAAGUCUUAUUGUUUUACAUGCC
rnacentral:rRNA from 1 species